rnacentral:misc_RNA from 1 species
CCGACACCUGGAGGUCGCCCGCCCCGGCGGGCCCUCCUCAAACCCUGCAAACCUUAACUCUCUUUUUUGCCUCGGCGGCGUGUCCCUCGCGGGGCCCGAUCGGCGCCGCCGAAGCACACUUUUAAAAAAUGUCCUUGAAAAGAUCUCUGAGCAAAAAAAGUCUCCUAGCGAGCGAGGAUCA